UACGGAGGGGGCUAGCGUUGUUCGGAAUUACUGGGCGUAAAGCGCACGUAGGCGGCUUUGCAAGUUAGAGGUGAAAGCCCGGGGCUCAACUCCGGAAUUGCCUUUAAAACUGCAUCGCUAGAAUUGUGGAGAGGUAAGUGGAAUUCCGAGUGUAGAGGUGAAAUUCGUAGAUAUUCGGAAGAACACCAGUGGCGAAGGCGACUUACUGGACACAUAUUGACGCUGAGGUGCGAAAGCGUGGGAGCAAACAGG
rnacentral:rRNA from 1 species